GAGUCAGUGCCUAGCCAUGCCACGGUUGUUACUGUUCUCGCCAUCACAGCUAAACUGGCGAUCUCGGCUGCGUGGACAUCAGUCAUAACCAUCACAACUGAGUUAUACCCAACUGUAAUCAGGAAUAUUUCAUACGGAUUUUUUAGUGCUGUAUCAAGAGUUGGUGCGAUGGUGGCUCCUCAAAUUAUCUUCCUUAGCAAAACUGUUCCUGGCCUGCUUUACUUUGUGAUCGGGGGAACUCUGCUACUGUCCGGCUUCUGUGUCUUCUUGCUGCCAGAAACCAAGGGACGUGCUCUGGAGGACCAUGUUAUGGUCGAAGAUUCUGCCGAGCAAAUGAACCUUGUGAAAAACGAUCCCGAGGAAUAGAAAGCAUAAC